rnacentral:rRNA from 1 species
AACGCUAGCUACAGGCUUAACACAUGCAAGUCGAGGGGAAACGAUAUUGGAAGCUUGCUUCCGAUAGGCGUCGACCGGCGCACGGGUGAGUAACGCGUAUCCAACCUGCCCACCACUUGGGGAUAACCUUGCGAAAGUAAGACUAAUACCCAAUGAUAUCUCUAGAAGACAUCUGAAAGAGAUUAAAGAUUUAUCGGUGAUGGAUGGGGAUGCGUCUGAUUAGCUUGUUGGCGGGGUAACGGCCCACCAAGGCAACGAUCAGUAGGGGUUCUGAGAGGAAGGUCCCCCACAUUGGAACUGAGACACGGUCCAAACUCCUACGGGAGGCAGCAGUGAGGAAUAUUGGUCAAUGGGCGAGAGCCUGAACCAGCCAAGUAGCGUGCAGGAUGACGGCCCUAUGGGCUGUAAACUGCUUUUAUACAGGAAUAAAGUUAGCCACGUGUGGCUAUUUGUAGGUACUGUAUGAAUAAGGACCGGCUAAUUCCGUGCCAGCAGCCGCGGUAAUACGGAAGGUCCAGGCGUUAUCCGGAUUUAUUGGGUUUAAAGGGAGCGUAGGCCGUCUGUUAAGCGUGUUGUGAAAUGUAGAUGCUCAACAUCUGAAUUGCAGCGCGAACUGGCAGACUUGAGUGUGCGCAACGUAGGCGGAAUUCGUGGUGUAGCGGUGAAAUGCUUAGAUAUCACGAAGAACUCCGAUUG